UAUUUGUGUUUACCCUAAAAUGCUUUUUCCUCGUAUGCAUUUCAGGGUGUAGGGAUUCUCAUGGAAAAUACUUCCCAUGGCUGGCAUGGGAGUUGAAGAAUUGUUGCAUGUGCAGCCAAAGUCUGGUGCUUGUGUUGCUCAUUUCUAUAUGUGCUAAAUGGAGGAUUUCUUUUUCAUCCAAAACCCUAGUAUUGCAGGAGAUAGUUGCUUUAUGGAUUUGAAGGUAGGUCGCUAACUUUUCCAAGAAGAUUCAAAGGGAUUAUGAAGCAUAGGAUUGAAGAUUUAUAUAAGGUAAUCAAAUGCAUACCUGGGGGGAUAUACCCGACAGAUCCUCGUAGAAAAGCAGUUGUGGUAGUAACAUGUCCUCUUGGUUUGUCACCUGAAAUGAGCUUUCCAAUACCAGAAUCUCCUACAUGAGCCACCAUAUCAUUGUCCAAAAGAACAUUUUGUGGUUUCAGGUCACAGUGUACAACUUGAACAGGACAACCCUCAUGAAGAUACUCCAAGCCAUUUGCAACAUCUAUUGCUAUUCCCAUUCUUUCCCUCAAUUUUAAUUCACUACCUCCUUCAUCUGACCCACCAGGGUAAAGAUGCUGUUCCAAGUUCCCAUUGCCUAUAUACUCGAGAACAAUAGCCUUGAAUCCUGAAUUCCAGGUCGAUCCUAUCAUUCUAACCAGAUUCCUAUGUCUAAUUUCAGACAGUAUUUGACACUCCCUUUUAAAACUUCUGUAACCCUGAACACGCUCUUCUUGCAGAACCUUAACUGCCACAACAGUUUUUCCAUCAUUGAUGAUAGCUUUAUACACCCUACCAAAACUUCCUUCCCCUAAUAGAUUAGCCUCAUCAAAACCGCCAGUAGCAAUUUCGAUUUCCCUUUCAGUUAAAGUUUGGGUUCCAUGAUGGGUUGGGGAAUACAUUAGAAUUGCAGUCUCCGCACCUGCACUCCUAUUUUUGAAGAAGAAACGACGAACAGUGAGGGCGAUCAGCACAAAGAGAAGCAGAGAACAAGUUAAUAUUGCAAACAGGUAAUAAAUCCAUUUCCUUUUCUUGUGCUUUUGUUUCAGAAUUUCACAUGGAUGGAGACCCAUAAGUUUGGUGCCACCACAGAGCCCCAUAUUCCCCAUGAAUGAGCUGCUUCCUAGAUUUUUAUACCUCCCACUAUUUGGAACCUCUCCUGUUAAUCUGUUAUACGAUAAAUUGAGAUUCUUGAUCUUCUGGCUGUCACCAAUCCAGAUUGGAACAUUUCCUGUUAAAUUAUUGAAAGCCAAGUCCAGAUAUCCUAGAUCAAUGAUUUGCUUCAGGGACUCUGGGAUUGUACCUUCAAGCAUGUUGUGAGAGAGGUUCAGAUACUCCAUUGAAAUGCAUCUUCCAAUCGAACUUGGUAUCACUCCGAAGAAUUUAUUCGCUGACAAGUCAAUUGCCAGCACAGAUGCCAGAUUUCCAAUACUAGCAGGUAGUUCUCCUUCAAGAUUGUUGUUCGAAAGGUUGAGUGAAAGAGCCAGGUUUGAGAAAUGACCAAUUUCUGUGGGAAGAGACCCUUGUAAGUUGUUAAAAGACAAAUCAAGAAGCAUUAGAAGAGAACAUUGGGUGAGUUCGAUGGGAAUUUUCCCUGUGAGGUGGUUGUGAGACAAGUAAAGAUAUCUCAACUGUGACAGAUUACCAAGAGAAGAUGGGAUUGUCCCACUAAUCAAAUUAUCACUAAGUUCCAGUAAACCAAGGUUAGCCAUCUGCCCAAGUUCAUCUGGAAUUGGCCCAAGAAGUUUGUUUCUUCCCAAGUGUAAUCUCUGCAACUGCCUAAGCUUCCCAAUUGUUGCAGGAACUCCAUUCAAAAAAUUAUACCACAGGUCUAGAGUCACAAGGCCGCUUAGAUUUCCAAUUUCAGCUGGUAGGUCUCCUGUUAAUUUGUUGUUUCGAAGAUUCAAGUAGUAGAGAUCUUUGGAAAGACUGCCAAUUGAAGCCGGUAAACUUCCUGCAAACAGACAUGCCCCUAAGUGCAGUUUCUGUAGACGUGAACAAUUAGUGAGAGGAGUUAGAAAACUGAGGGAAGAGUUGUUGGAACCGCUCACCAGGUUAUUGCUAUGAAGGUAAAGUCUCUCAAGUUUCUUCAACUUCCCCAACUCAGGAGGGACUUCCCCCUCUAACUGGUUGAGGCUAAGAUCAAGCAGUGUCAGCUGAGAAAGAUUGGACAGGGUCACUGGAAUUUUCCCAGAAAGUUGGUUUUCUUGGAAGUACAAUCUCUGCAAGUUAUGGAGCUUUGACCCCAAUUCGAAAGGGAUUGUUCCCGUUAACCGAUUCUCAAUCAGUGUAAUGUGACGCAGGGCAGUGCAAUUACUGAUGGAUGCAGGUAUGCUUCCUUCCAAAAAGUUGAUGUGGAGGUACAAUAUCUCCAGCUUUGUUAAUGCUCCUAGCUCCUCUGGAAUCCUUCCUGUGAAGUAAUUAACUUGCAAUUCUAAAUCUGUCAGCUUUGUCAGAUUCGAAAGAAACGAUGGUAUAGCUCCAGUGAGGCUGUUCUCAGAGAGACAAAGGUAUGUCAAGUUUGUCAUUUGGCCUAGUACAGCAGGAAUGCUUCCAGUCAGAUUGUUAUAGUCCAAGUCUAUUGUCUCCAGGCUCCAGCAGCCUUGUAUUGAGGCUGGAAUAUUGCCCCCAAGCUUAUUACCACUCAUGUUUAUGAAUGUUAACUCAGAAAGCUCUCCAAUGGUAGCUGGGAUCUCUCCAUACAAGCUGUUGGCUUGCAAAGAGAGGGUGGUGAGAUGGGAUAGAUUGGAUAUGUAUGGUGAGAUAACUCCCUGUAAGCGCAUGUUUAUGAGCUCAAUGGCUAUGACCCGGUUCUUAAGUUGCUGGUGGCAUGUAAUCCCUGUCCAGUUGCAGAAGAACCUGGUUUCAUUCCAAUCUUGGAGAUGACCAUCUGGAUCACCUGUUAUGCCUUGUUUGAAUUUGAGCAGAGAUUGACAAUCAGUGGAGUUUUUGCAGAGGAAUGUGGAAGUUGAUAGUAGAGCAAGACAACUAAGAGAGAAAAACACUGCCACAGCAACGGGAUUGUUCUGAUUGUAUGCCAUUCUCUCUCUCUCUCUCUCUCAGUGUGUGUGUACAGCUUUUGGAAUUCGAUGUUAGAUUUCAGGCCAAAAGUUUUUUUUCUCACUUGUUAGGUAAGAUGGGAUGAACAAUCAAUUUUCUUAAAAGUUUAAACUUAACGUGUAUCAUACUUUUCAACACUCGACGGGAUCAAUGGUAGAAGUUUAAAUAGAUGGGCUCAGUUGCUCAAAUGGUUCAGACAACUUGGCCUAGUGAGGGGCAGGUGGUGAGCCCUCAUUUAUCACUGGGACCAUAGAGCAAGACUUUUUGGUAUUGCCAUCACCUGUCUUAACUUCAUUCAACCUCUUCAAUGCUGUUUGACAUUUUCUUCCGUGACAGAAUUAAUAGCUAUGCAGUUUCCCAAAA